GGGGAGAUGCCAGAGUGGACGAUUGGGGCCGCCUGCUAAGCGGUUUAUGGGUUGUAAAGCCUAUACGCAGGUUCGAAUCCUGUUCUCCCCG
rnacentral:tRNA from 1 species